rnacentral:misc_RNA from 1 species
UCUCCGUUGGUGAACCAGCGGAGGGAUCAUUACCGAGUUUACAACUCCCAAACCAAAUGUGAACGUUACCAAACUGUUGCCUCGGCGGGGUCACGCCCCGGGUGCGUCGCAGCCCCUGAACCAGGCGCCCGCCGGAGGAACCAACCAAACUCUUUCUGUAGUCCCCUCGCGGACGUUAUUUCUUACAGCUCUGAGCAAAAAUUCAAAAUGAAUCAAAACUUUCAACAACGGAUCUCUUGGUUCUG